GUUUGAGAGGCACUCUGAGGCCCAACAGUUUCUGACCCUGGAUGGGGAUUAUGCACCCGGUGCCUCGGCUGGCUCGGCUGUGAAAAAUAAAACAGGGUGGAUUCCAAAGGAGACAACACGUGUGGAUGCUUUAGACCAUGACCUAGCGGUUUUCUCUAUUAUUCUGUAUUCUAAGGAAUACACAGUUAAAACAAUGAUUAGCCACCUGCAUCUAGUUUCAGUAGAAAACAGCUGGAUUUAGAGCCGACAGACCUCACAGCUCUUCUACUGACCAGCAGAAAACCAGAGCAAGCCAUUAAACCCAGGCAUGUCACAAACGAGCAGUACCUAGGAUUCCUCACUUUCAAAUGUGCUCUCCAGAAGAUUCGAUACCCAGCCUGGUUGGGGAAUCACUGAGGGGGUGUCAGCUCUGUUCUUCCUCCCCAGGACCCUUCGAGUCACUGCUCAAGGACUGAGACCCAUCUGCUCCAUAAGGGAUUGUAACCGAGUGGCCCAGACUUGAAACACAUUUUACAGUUUUUCCUUUUUCCUUUCCUUCUUCAUCUCAGAAUGUAGCCUGGAAAUGCACCUUCAGACUUCACUUCCCUCCUUUCCACCAGGCACUCCGAUGUGCUAUGCUGGCUCCUCUAAGUAUGCACUUGCUUAGAAAUUCUAGAGGCUCGUUUUGAAACAAACCAGUCCCAAGACCCAGCUCCAGAAUCCUCCUGCUUAAAAGGAGUUAUGGACAAUUACUCCACCACCACCAUCGGGCCAGCAUCAAGAGAAUGGCAACCAAACCUCCGGACAGGCAAUUUCUCAAGAUAGCCAUUGGAAUAGGGCCCAUGGACCUACACCCCGCGCCCCCUCUAUACCACUCCUGCAUAUCUCCCAUACAGUUUUUCUUCCUAAACCCCCUCAUUCAGCCCUGAAAGACGAAUGGUCUUUUAAGGACAUGAGCCUAACCAUGCCCCAGCUGCUAGCACUUGAAUAAAGCCGCUUUCCUUUCACCACUCCUCGCUUCUCUUCUGGCCCCUCCUCGCUUCUGUUCUGGCCCCCGGGCCGUGAGCAGCAGGACCUGAGUCUGUUUCAGGAUGAGCACAAUUCCUGUGAUGAAGGCAUCAGGCGGCAGGGCUCACAGUGCAGACCCACAGAUGGAACCCCGUCCACAGAGGACUCAGGCCAGCACUGUCUUAAAAUCAUCUGAAUCUCACCACCUGAAGUGGAAAGCACACGCUCUGUUCCCCACAGGCAGCACGUUGGGCCGUUUUACUCAUCAGGAACUUGGGGCACAGUGGAUGGAAUCUAUGAGCUUUUUGGUAUCCGAACAAGAACUGAUAAAGACGGAUACUAUGGAGAAUUGAAGAGAAGGGAGAUGAACAAACAGCAACGUGCCCAGAUCUUAGGAAACACUUGCUUGCUGAAUGAAGCAGACAAAAAUAAAGCAACUACCCAGACCUGAGCCUAAACAGCUGCCCCACCAAACAAGGAUAUUCACCUCUGACGUUUUCAUGCACCAAUAAAAUUUGAUCAUUCAAUGUG